GACAUUAUGGAUGAGAAUGUAGGCAACAGCCUCAAACAGUCGAGGUUCAAAUCCCUACUCUGUACUUGCCAAACUAGAACUGGAAGGAUUUAAUGAGUUAAUAUACGUAAAGUAUUCAGAACAGUGCCUUCACAAGACGUGGCCUCACCCAGCUUCUCCUGCAGUUUACUGUGGCUAUGAGACUGAGCUCUGGCCAACAGAAUGUGAAUGAAUAUGAUACGAGCCAUCACCAUGCAUCCUUUUUUAUUCCCUGUCCUCUUCUGGCGGCCUGUGGUGGCAGCCCCAGAUGACUACUGAAACCACAUAUUCAAGAUGGCGGAAUCGCUAUCAGCCUGGAUUCCUGAGUGAGUGUGGAGCAGAGCCACUCCACCCGCAAACCUUCAACAUUCUCUUCAUUUGCCACCUAGCUGGAGUGUUACAUACUGAUAUGACAAAAAAAAUGUUAUUGUGCCAAGCCCUUGCAAAUCUGGAUCUGUUUGCUACCACAGUCGAGCUUAAACUACUACGUAUCCCAGCCACAUAAUGCUAAAAUUUUGAAAGCCUAUUGCCCAGAGAUCUAUUAAAUCUUUAGUGCAAAC